rnacentral:lncRNA from 1 species
GCCGCAGCACGGGAAGCAACUCGCCGAAGGACGAGUUCAUCCUGCCGUUUCUCGGCGACGAAGACGCGUCGGGGAGUGGAAGCGGCUUCGUCCAAGCCAAGAGAAGCAUAUCAAUGAUGCUGGAGAGACCCAUCCACACGGUGCACAUCUACUGGAGGAAGUUCGACGACAGGUUCAUGAGACCAAUCUUCGGUGGACCACGAUCUUACUGACUGGAAUAAUUCUGUGCAAGAGAAGAGGUGGAAUAAUUGGCGCUUUUACGACUGGAGUAUAAUCGAGUUCGGCGACGGUAAUUCAGUGUAACAAUAUGUCUGAAUUUUGUGUCUUUGGUUAGUUACUACUCCUUACUACUUACCAGUGUAAAGUUUGUAACAUGAACAGU